rnacentral:tRNA from 1 species
UAGAAUAUGGUGUAAUGGUAGCACGAAGAAUUUUGAAUUCUUGGGUUUAGGUUCAAUUCCUAUUGUUCUAG